CCACAAAAAUCUUUGCUGGCUCAUUUCUAGCCCCAAAGCCAAUUCGUUUAUCUGAUCGUAAGAUAGGGUCCCGCCGCUUCCAAAUGACACGUACAGAACAGAGCCAUGCGGUUGCUCAUCUAGCCACCUCAAACAAUCUGCUUCCUUUCCUUCACUACUUGAACCCAUGUUCACCAGCGGACCAACAGGGUAAACGGGUGGUUUACCGGCUUCUUCCUCUUGCAAAGCCUUUAUGGCCCCUCCUUCCAUGUCCACGAAGCUGUUAACCAUAACACCCUCAGCUAGUCUAUAUCGCUUUGUAUGGUGAAGAAGCCAUUUAUAAGCAUCAUUUUUCCUAUCUUGAACCGGGUCGAGCAAUUCCUUCCCGUGUAUCGGUAUGCAGCC
rnacentral:misc_RNA from 1 species